rnacentral:lncRNA from 1 species
AUGCUGUUUUCCACUCCGAUCCCAACGCUCUCCAGCCGUGGACUGCAGGACUCAAGGAAGACUUCAAAUUUACUGGAAAUUUGGAACCUUCCUCAAUUUCAUCUUUUUUCCAUAGGAGAACGUAAGACUUCUUAUUUAUCGUUGGAAGUUAUUUAAUCACCAAAUCAUCUUGUUCUAAAUCUCUCCGUUUUCAUGCCAAACCGCUCAUCUUGUUUUCAAGCACAGCGUUUCGUUAGUGUGUAAGUAGAAAACCUCUUUUUAUUCCUCAGACUUUUUCGCUAUUUUCUAAACUGCAAACAUCAAAAUUACAUGAUACGCUCCCACUCAAAAAGCACAAGUCCAACAAGGAAGCAACUCAUAAAUGUUACUGUAAUCAUUGGUAAUUACUCCACUCACCUAGUGACAAUUUAAAAGGUUCUUCAUAAAGUCAUUUAAAGACUCAAUGGAAGUGUCGAGCAAACACUGUGUCAGGUUUCUGCAGAAAAUACCUAGUAAAAUGUAUCUUUUCAUGUAAAGGAUAUUAAAAUUGUUAUCUAAAAAGUGUCCUUGUUUGUUCACAGAGGCUGCAUAAUUGGCAGACUGUAAAUAUUUUCUUAAUCAUCGAUAACUAUUUGAAGUAACAAUCAACAAAUCACUCGUUGCAAACCUGUCUUUUUCCGUUUGAAAAUGCUCAGCAUGUUUUCAAGCAAAGCAUUUCGCUAAUGUGUAAGUAGAAAACCUUGUUUUACUCUCCAGACUUUUUCUCUAUUUUCUAAACUGCAUGCAUUAAAAUUACAUGAUGCGCUCCUGCUCAAAAAGUGCACGUCCAACAAGGAAACAACUCAUAAAUGUUACUGUAAUCAUUGUUAAUUACGCUACUUACUGACAAUUUAAAAGAUUCUUCAUCAAGUCAUUUGAAGACUCUAGGGAAAUGUUGAAUGAUCACCACUUCAGGUGUCUGCUGAAAAUACCCGAUGAAAUGCAUAUUUUCAUGCAAAGAAUAUUAAAAUUGUUAUUCAAAACAUUUUCUUGUUUGUUCGCAGAUGCUGCAUAAUUGGCAGAUUGUUAAUCAUUUUAUGAAUCAUCACACAUUGAAAACCUGUCUUUUUCCGUAUGAAAAUGCUCACCAUGUUUUCAAGCACAGCAUUUCGCUAAUGUGUAAGUAGAAAACCUCGUUUUACUCUCCAGACUUUUCCUCCAUUUCCUAAACUACAAGAAUCAAAAUUAAAGGAUACCCUGCUGUUCAAAAAGUGCAAGUCCAACA